UGAAAGCAUCUAAGCGCGAAACCCACCUCAAGAUAACGUAUCGUUCACCCGCAAGGGUGUGAAGGCUCCUCACAGACUAUGAGGUUGAUAGGCUGCGUGUGUAAGGACUGUAAGGUCUUUAGCUAAGCAGUACUAAUGUGCCGAAAGCUUGACCUUAUUUAU
rnacentral:rRNA from 1 species